AAGUCUGAACCUGCAGCCAUAGAGGUAACCUUGUACCUCUCCCAUGCAUCAUAAAGAGUUUCUAGAUCCAUCUGCACAAAAGAAGAGAUAUCAUUCCUUAAUUU
rnacentral:snoRNA from 1 species